GGGCUUGUAGUUAAAUUAAUAAUAAGAGUUUUGUAAACUUUAGUUGGAUCUUUUAAAUGGUUUUGAGCCUA
rnacentral:tRNA from 1 species